AUUGAACGCUGGCGGUAGGCCUAACACAUGCAAGUCGAACGGCAGCACAGGAGAGCUUGCUCUCUGGGUGGCGAGUGGCGGACGGGUGAGGAAUACAUCGGAAUCUACUUUUUCGUGGGGGAUAACGUAGGGAAACUUACGCUAAUACCGCAUACGACCUACGGGUGAAAGCAGGGGAUCUUCGGACUUUGCGCGAUUGAAUGAGCCGAUGUCGGAUUAGCUAGUUGGCGGGGUAAAGGCCCACCAAGGCGACGAUCCGUAGCUGGUCUGAGAGGAUGAUCAGCCACACUGGAACUGAGAGACGGUCCAGACUCCUACGGGAGGCAGCAGUGGGGAAUAUUGGACAAUGGGCGCAAGCCUGAUCCAGCCAUACCGCGUGGGUGAAGAAGGCCUUCGGGUUGUAAAGCCCUUUUGUUGGGAAAGAAAUCCAGCUGGUUAAUACCCGGUUGGGAUGACGGUACCCAAAGAAUAAGCACCGGCUAACUUCGUGCCAGCCGCCGCCGUAA
rnacentral:rRNA from 1 species